rnacentral:rRNA from 1 species
UGGGGAAUAUUGCACAAUGGGGAAAGACCCUGAUGCAGCGACGCCGCGUGAAGGAAGAAGUAUUUCGGUAUGUAAAGCUCUAUCAGCAGGGAAGAAGAAAGACGGUACCUGACUAAGAAGCCCCGGCUAACUACGUGCCAGCAGCCGCGGUAAUACGUAGGGGGCAAGCGUUAUCCGGAUUUACUGGGUGUAAAGGGAGCGUAGACGGAUCUGCAAGUCUGGAGUGAAAGCCCGGGGCUCAACCCCGGGACUGCUUUGGAAACUGUAGGUCUAGAGUGCCGGAGAGGUAAGCGGAAUUCCUAGUGUAGCGGUGAAAUGCGUAGAUAUUAGGAGGAACACCAGUGGCGAAGGCGGCUUACUGGACGGUAACUGACGUUGAGGCUCGAAAGCGUGGGGAGCAAACAGGAUUAGAUACCC